GCAUGCGGGAGACGUGUAGACAUCAUCCAAGAGAAAGUACAGCGGAAGGCGUGCAAUUACAAGUCCUGCGGCCUCUAGUAAGGAGCGAGUGUCCUUGUGCGUGCAAGUGGAUGAGAUUACAGGGGUUUGCCUCUAGGAGAACGGUUUCCAAGCUGCGUCCAAUGUCCAUGUGAAUUCUCGUCGUUCACAGCUGCCCUGUGGUUUCUCCGGCUAGGACCCCCCCCACAGGAAUUCCAGAUGUUUUUUCUUGUGUACCAGAACCAGAGA